rnacentral:lncRNA from 1 species
GAUCAAGAACCAAAGAAAUCGGAGUUAGAUCGAGGAAAAGCUAAAGUCAUAGACUAAUUAUCCGGUUCCAUUUUUCACUGUCCGAGGUAAGUCUAUUAGUUAUUUAAUGUUAUUAUAUCAGUAUAUAUGUAUGUAUAUCUAUUUUAUUUUUGUUGAGCUAUAAUUAAAAGUAAUUCGAUUGAAUAAAUUUGAAGUAUAAAUGGUAUAUAUGUGUAUAUACAAUAUUCGAAUAUAUAGGUUUAUACUUAUAUAGAUAUUUUAAUUUAGUUAAAGUAAGAAAGGGUAUAUAGGUAUAUAUAUACAAUGUUCGAAUAUUUAUAUAUGAAUCUAUAUAUAUAUUUGUGAUGAAUUUAAUUGAAUGUAUGAGAGGUAUAUGUGUGCACAAGGUUCGAACAAAUAUGAGUAUAUAUAUGUAUAUAUUCUAGGUUUAAUCAAAGAUAUGUAUAUUAUAUAUAUAUAAGAUUCGAAUAUAUAUACAUAAGAAUAUACAUGCAUAAGCUUUUGGGUUGAUUAAAGGUAUGUAUUUUAUAAUUGUUUAAGUAGUUUCGAAUAUAUAUUCAUAUGCAAUUUUUAAAUAUGUAUGAGAUUAUAUAUAUGUAUAUGUUUUUAUAUUGAACUUAUGUAUGCAAUUAUAUAUAUGUAUGUUAUAGAUUCAAUUAUAUAUAUAUGAAUAAGUUUUGAACCUAGUUAAAGGUAAAAAUUGUGUAAAUAAAUACAUUUUGUGUUCGAAUAUAAAUGUAUAUACAUGUAUGGGUUGUUGAUUUUAGUUAAUGGUAUAAAUGUUAAAUAUAUUCACGAGAUUCGAAUAUAUAUAUGUAUAUUUAUGUAUUGGUUCUUGAAUAGGAUUAAAGGUAUAAAAUCUAUCUAUUUUUAUAAUUGAGGUUCGACUUUAUAUAUAUACGUGUAUAUAUAUAUGUUUAUGAAUUUAUAAGCACUUGAGUUGAAUUGAAGGUAUGAUUGGUAAACUCUGUUACGAUUUGAAUAUGGUAUAUAAUGAACAUGUGAUUGUUAUUAUGAAUGAUAUGAGGAAUUAUUUGUAUAUGUGAAAUUGAAAUUUUAGGCUCCGAGCCUAACAGGUUUAUUAACAGUGAAGUAAUCCAGACAUUACGUCUAGCAGACUUGAUGCCGGUGAAACAUACUAGACAUUACGUCUAGCAGGCUUGAUGCCGAUGAAACAUACCAGACAUUACGUCUAGUAGGCUUGAUGCCGGUGAAACAUAUCAGACUUUAUGUCUAGCAGGCUAAGUGUCGGUGUACUAAAACAGGCUUUAAGCCUAGCAGGCUAAAUGCCGGUGAUAUUGUUUAUAUUAUGUAUAUACAUGUACUGAAUGUGUAUAUGGAUUUUGUGGUAUGAAAUUGAAGA